GACUGCCGUGGCUAACACGGAGGAAGGAACGGGCAACGGUAGGUCAGUAUGCCCCGAAUGUGCUGGGCAACACGCGGGCUACAAUGGCCGAGACAAAGGGUUCCAACCUCGAAAGAGGACGGUAAUCUCAGAAACUCGGUCGUAGUUCGGAUUGUGGGCUGAAACUCGCCCACAUGAAGCUGGAUUCGGUAGUAAUCGCAUUUCAGAAGAGUGCGGUGAAUACGUCCCUGCUCCUUGCACACACCGCCCGUCAAAGCACCCGAGUGAGGUCCGGAUGAGGCUACCAUACGGUAGUCGAAUCUGGGCUUCGCAAGGGGGCUUAAGUCGUAACAAGGUAGCCGUAGGGGAAUCUGCGGCUGGAUCACCUCCU
rnacentral:ncRNA from 1 species